rnacentral:rRNA from 1 species
AUGCUGACAUAAGUAACGAUAAAGCGGGUGAAAAGCCCGCUCGCCGGAAGACCAAGGGUUCCUGUCCAACGUUAAUCGGGGCAGGGUGAGUCGACCCCUAAGGCGAGGCCGAAAGGCGUAGUCGAUGGGAAACAGGUUAAUAUUCCUGUACUUGGUGUUACUGCGAAGGGGGGACGGAGAAGGCUAUGUUGGCCGGGCGACGGUUGUCCCGGUUUAAGCGUGUAGGCUGGUUUUCCAGGCAAAUCCGGAAAAUCAAGGCUGAGGCGUGAUGACGAGGCACUACGGUGCUGAAGCAACAAAUGCCCUGCUUCCAGGAAAAGC